GCGGGCGUAGUUCAGUGGGAGAACGCUUCGUUGACAUCGAAGAGGCCGCUGGUUCAAUCCCAGCCGUCCGUA
rnacentral:tRNA from 1 species